rnacentral:rRNA from 1 species
UACAGAGGGUGCGAGCGUUGUCCGGAAUCACUGGGCGUAAAGGGCGCGUAGGUGGCGGCCCAAGUCCAUGGUGAAAGCUCGAUGCUCAACAUCGAGUCGGCCACGGAUACUGGGUUGCUGGAGCACUGUAGGGGCAGAUGGAAUUCCGGGUGUAGCGGUGGAAUGCGUAGAGAUCCGGAAGAACACCGAUGGCGAAGGCAGAUCUCUGGGCCGUAACUGACGCUGAGGAGCGAAAGCGUGGGGAGCGAACAGG